AUUAUAAUAGUUUAAAAAAAAACAUUUCAUUUUCACUGAAAAAUUAUUUUUCUAUAAAUUUAUAAUU
rnacentral:tRNA from 1 species